ensembl:snRNA LOC120095751 U1 spliceosomal RNA
GUACUUACCUGGCAGGGGAGAUACCAUGAUCACGAAGGUGGUUUUCCCAGGGCGAGGCUUAUCCAUUGCACUCCGGAUGUGCUGACCCCUGCGAUUUCCCCAAAUGCGGGAAACUCGACUGCAUAAUUUGUGGUAGUGGGGGACUGCGUUCGCGCUCUCCCCUG